rnacentral:rRNA from 1 species
UGAGUAACGCGUGGGUAACCUGCCCUGUACAGGGGGAUAACAGUUAGAAAUGGCUGCUAAUACCGCAUAAGCGCACAGUGCCGCAUGGCAGUGUGUGAAAAACUCCGGUGGUGUGAGAUGGAUCCGCGUCUGAUUAGCCAGUUGGCGGGGUAACGGCCCACCAAAGCGACGAUCAGUAGCCGACCUGAGAGGGUGACCGGCCACAUUGGGACUGAGACACGGUCCAGACUCCUACGGGAGGCAGCAUG